rnacentral:lncRNA from 1 species
GAAAAAUAUCGCAAUAUUAUAACAUUGGAGAGAGAAAGAUUAUAAGCGUUUUUAAAUUUUUGUAAAUCUUUUAAAGUAUAAAAGUGAUGUUUUUAGCAAUACAUUUGCAUCUGAGGACAGGAUGGAUUCCCCAUCUCCCGCUCCGUUUCUUGUUGGAUCCGGAAUGAUCCGAAGCAGAUUAAUUUUAAUUGUAUUUUUGGCUUCACUUACCAUUCCGUUCGGGACAUAUGGGCAUUGGAGCAAAUUUUCGAUAUAUUUCUUUAAAUCAAAACAGAUCAAAACAAAAAAAGAAAAUUUUCGCCUUCCGUUUUAUUUACUUGGCGGAUACGGACGAAUUCUGAGCUAGUAAUAUCUUUCUAUAUUUUUUUAUUUUUAUUUACCGUUUCAUUUUUAGGUAAUCGGGGCAGAAACUCCACUAGUCUGGAUUC